AUAUUUAAAUCUACAAGGUAUAUACCCUUCUUUACAUUAAAUCUAUAAGGUACAGAAUGUAUACGCCUUUCUUUACAUUAAAUCCAUAAGGUAUAUACCUUUCUUUACAUUAAAUCGCAUUGCAACUGUUGCAUAACAUUUAGUUUAUACCAUGCUCACAUGGAAUAAACUCUAAAUGCGUUUUGACUGAGACUAUUUUUUUAUCGCUUGGUUCAAUAUGUUUCGAUUGGCUUACACUUGAAGGCCGCUUCAUGAGUUCCUGGAAAUGAUAGCACACAAGAAAAGUAGUUCUCAGUUGUUAACUUGUUUUUGUCAUAUUUUAAAGUAUAUAUGUAUAUAAAGAUUUCUAUCGAUUUAUUGCUGUGAAAAGAAUAAACUUGCGUAUUAAUUGUUUUGAAAUGUAAUCAAUUGUAACAAUUCCAUACAUUUCCAAAAUUGUCAGUUUUGCAUAUUAAUUGGUGGCAAUUCACUUCAGGUCAUAUCCAUAUACAUGUACUUCAUAUGAUCUUGUGAAAAGAAAACAUGCUGACACAAAACAUGUCAAUUCAUCCUCAGAAUAGCUUUUCUAUUGUGCUAAACAGGUCACACAAACUUGUGGUUGUUGUAUAUGGUAGAUAUUUUACUCCUGUUAGAUAUUUUUCCAAAGUUACAAAAAACACUCACUAAAGGUUGUGUUUUUCGUGACUUUUGAAAAAUAUUUAACUCAAGCGAAAGAAAUACUAUAACCAACAACAAUGAGUUGUUAAACAUCUAUUUACAUUAGAUUUAUUAGGACUGCUUAUUUGUUAGAUUUAUAGCAUGUGUACUUAACACUGUAGAAAAAUCUGUUAUUUUGUUUCCCUAUCAACUUACAAAUUACACAAAUUGUUAUUUGUUUUAUUGACACUAUGGUGAUUUUACUGGAGUAUAAUGUUUUAAAUAUUUUGUAUUAAAGGGAAAUUGUUUUCUGUUUAA